rnacentral:lncRNA from 1 species
AGUGAGCCCCCGUGAAACAAGGGGCGUCCGGCAGUCCCUUUCCACCUGUCUCCACCCAGAGGAAAACGCAGGGACUGAGACACCCUCAUCCCCUCCCUUCCUGCCCCGCCGCUGGAGCUUUGUAAGCUGGAGCCAGGAAGCCGGAGUGUGGGGAACUUGAAAGGUCUGUAGCCCCUGCUGUGACACCGCUGAGCAGGAAACCGCGUGCGUCCACAAGCAGCCCCAAGGCCUUGUUGUAGGACAGUGGACAGUUUGCUCUCCCGGCUGAGGCUGCCCACCCCAGGGUUCCUGCAGUGCCUCACCUGCCCCCGG